rnacentral:rRNA from 1 species
CAGUCGCCGCGGGAAUACGAAGGGGGCAAGCGUUAAUCGGAAUUACUGGGCGUAAAGCGUGCGUAGGCGGUGAGUUAAGUCUGCUGUGAAAUCCCCGGGCUCAACCUGGGAAUGGCAAUGGAUACUGGCAAGCUAGAGUGUGUCAGAGGAUGGUGGAAUUCCCGGUGUAGCGGCGAAAUGCGUAGAGAUCGGGAGGAACAUCAGUGGCGAAGGCGGCCAUCUGGGACAACACUGACGCUGAGGCACGAAAGCGUGGGGAGCAAACAGGAUUAGAUACCCCUGUAGUCCCUGUCUCUUAUAC